rnacentral:rRNA from 1 species
UAGCNGAGGAAAAGAAACCAACAGGGAUUGCCUCAGUAACGGCGAGUGAAGCGGCAAAAGCUCAAAUUUGAAAUCUAGCACCUUCGGUGUUCGAGUUGUAAUUUGAAGAUGGUAACCUUGGGUUUGGCUCUUGUCUAUGUUCCUUGGAACAGGACGUCAUAGAGGGUGAGAAUCCCGUCUGAUGAGAUGCCCAUUCCUAUGUAAGGUGCUAUCGAAGAGUCGAGUUGUUUGGGAAUGCAGCUCUAAGUGGGUGGUAAAUUCCAUCUAAAGCUAAAUAUUGGCGAGAGACCGAUAGCGAACAAGUACAGUGAUGGAAAGAUGAAAAGAACUUUGAAAAGAGAGUGAAAAAGUACGUGAAAUUGUUGAAAGGGAAGGGCAUUAGAUCAGACUUGGUGUUUUACGAUUAUCUUCUCUUCUUGAGUUGUGCACUCGUAUUUCACUGGGCCAGCAUCGAUUCGGAUGGCAAGAUAAUGGCAGUUGAAUGUGGCUUCACUUCGGUGGAGUGUUAUAGCUUCUGCUGAUAUUGCCUGUCUGGAUCGAGGGCUGCGUCUUUUGACUAGGAUGCUGGCGUAAUGAUCUAAUGCCGCCCGUCUU